AGCUUUGCGCAGUGGCAGUAUCAUAGCCGAUGAGGUUUAACCGAGGCGUGAUUAUUGCUGAUUGAAAAGCUACUCGUUUUUUUUGUUGUUGUUUUCUGACUCCGUACUAGUUGAGGAAACUCUACUGGUGCUUGGGUUAGAGAG